rnacentral:misc_RNA from 1 species
UGACAAUACAUCAUAAGUUAAAACAAAACCUCAACUUAGAAUCUAGCUGCAGAGACAAAUCUGGCCAAGAAUACAAAUCAGCAUUGGGCAAUUUUCUCUAAUCAGAGCCAGUGAAGAAUCCAUUUCUCAAUAGGAAAUUACAUGAAGCUUCUUCUACACAAUAGUUUAACCAUGAAAACAUCACUUCUCCUUGAAAAGGUACAGCAGCAGCAUCUAUAUACAAAGGUUAAGCACAUCUUGUGCGUAUCAAGCAUUUGUGCCUGGGUCACUGAUCACACCCAGGAAAUCAUCCUUUAUCGUACCAAUACAGAAAAUUUCUGUGGCAUCAACACGUGUUCCGAUAAUCUUCAAUCUAACUUCACUUUCCUUCUGAAUUUUAACCGAACCAUCUGAAGUUGUAUAAUUUGGCACAUCCCCCGAUUGAAACUCCAUGUCAUCAGGUAUCAAGUGAUUUGAGACAAAAAUCUGCACAGGCCCUGCUUCAGCA